rnacentral:rRNA from 1 species
UACGGUGAAUACGUUCCCGGACCUUGCACACACCGCCCGUCAAGCCAUGGAAGCCGGGUGUACCUAAAGUCGGUAACCGCAAGGAGCCGCCUAGGGUAAAACUGGUAACUGGGGCUAAGUCGUAACAAGGUACCC